GCUUUGAAUUGGUGACCUUUA
rnacentral:piRNA from 1 species